AUGCGAUUUAUUUCAGCACCAAGUCUCGGGACAGUGCCUCUCGGGGGGGCGGUCUGAGAAGAAAACAGCAACCUGUUUCAGCACCGGGGCUCAGGACAGCUCCCAGCGGGCUCCGUUUCGGCGCCAGGACCCUGGACAGCUCCUCCAGACUUCCGUGAGAAACCUUGUGCCGAGCGUUUUACAUACAUCAUAUCAUGCCAUCUUCAACCCUAGGAUAUGGGUGGGAGGUGGGCCCUUGGAGAUCAGACCCUGCCUCUCUCCAGGAGAACCGGGAACGGAAAACAGGGAGGCAGCACAGAGGCAGGAAGCCCACAUGUCACAGCUUGGCUCAGCUCGGAAUGCACUCCCCCACCUCCACCCAGAGACCCCCUGCAACUGGGCCUGUCUUCUUCUGCAAGCUCCAUUUCGUCAAGGGAAACGAUCCUGACUGCCUCGCCAUUUCCCAUGUGAAGUCCGUAUUGACAUUCUCGGAGACCUGGAAUAUUGUGUCUCCAGCACACAGUCCAAUUAUUUUCAAGUUAUCUAGUGACAUGUCUAUUUGUCUCCCUGUUACACCGUGAGCUCCAUGAGGGCAGAAACAAUGUUAGUAUUUUGACGGCUACAUCCCCAGUGCCCAGUCCAGGGCCCAGCACACCACAGGCAUACAAUAAGCAUGCGUUGAAUCAAUAAAGCCACCAAAGAAUAAACCAAUA